CACACGCACACACACACACACAAAGUCUCCUCAUCAGCAUCGAUAAAAGAGGGGAACACCUUGAGACAGAACUGCAGACGAGCCGCCGCUGAGCGCGUGUCACUGGACGGACGAGCCAAGACGCGCACACGCACGCACAAACACACACACACCGCAGGAAUGUGUGGAGUUACAGGCAAAACGCAUGCUCGGACAUUUACUCUGUGUAGUGCUCGUUUUUUAAGUCCUCCUCUCUUUAAGAAUACUUGGUAACAUACGGGACGACGCUGCUGCUGCGCGCCCGACGGAAACCUAUAGGCUCGUUUGGAGACGAGCCAGUGACGCGCUGAAAAUAACCAGGUUACCACUCAGCACCGGUCCAUUUUGGGGAGGGCCCAACACGAGGGCGCAGCACCAUAUAUCAGCUCCUUCCAGCUGUUUGGGAAUAUCCUGCUCACAUUAUCGAGGCUGCAGCAUGGCAGCAGCAGCAGACUGUCUUCACUCCUCUCCGUCUCUCUGUCUUCUGCUUCCAGAAUGGAUACAGGGUGACUGGCUGCGCUAGCGGGGCUUAAUCACACACCGAUAUUCGUUCAAGGUAAGAAAGGGUGAGAGGAGAAGACUGGCACAAUUAAGGCGCGACACUGUUGCGUCUCCACAUUUUGCUCUCCUCGGGCAGAGGAGGAGGGGAAGGCAGAGGCCAGGAGGACUGUCCGACUUAUUACCAAAGACAAUUCGCCCUCCACAACCCCAAAAAGGAUAAUCUUGCUCCAUCUGGGAUGCGUUCAACACCAAGUAAUCAGAUAUUACAUGGGGCGGCAGUGGCGCUGGUUGGACGGUGAAGUUUUACUUGCAGACGCGAUCUCCUCCAGACAACACAGCAGACAGACUGUCGGCGCGUUUUACGCAGGUCUCCAUAUGGGCUGUGGAUGCUGACACCUGCCCGGUACGCAGGUGACACGGACUGGGCAUCACCUCCCCACUUCUCCACAAACACUGACAGGCAGCAGGUCAGUGGGGGAUGGACUGAAAGACGGGAGGCAGACAGGCAGGUAGACUGACAAAUAACACCGUCUGUCAAGCAGUGAUGUCAGAACCAGACAAAAACCAGACUAUGAAGAUGUACGAGACAGCAGCCGUGCAGACGUAGAGGACGGCAACAGGGCAGGCAGGUGAAGACAUGCUGCAGUACUGGCAAAACAGACAGAUACGGAGAGAAAUGUACAGACAAGCAGGCCCUGGAGGACCAGGAUCCAGGCCUGGGUGUGGUGUCGUGGACUGUCGCGGCUGGAGAGCGAGUGGCGUGGAGCGGAGCUCUCGAUGUUGGCACAUGGAAAAAAAAAGGUGACACCUACAGAAUCUCACCGUGACUGAGUGCAAUGGAAUUGGGCUUGCAACCAGAGGGUCACCAGUUCAAAUCCCAGGACAGGUCAAGGGCUGGAAUGCCUCUGAGAAAGCUCAACUGCUCAGAAAUGUGAUGUUGUGCUAACAUGGCUGCCAACAAUAAGACACGAUGACACUGUCCUGUUUUCACUGCUGGAGGCCUCCCAGUAGAAGGAGUUCUCUUGAAUGCUGCGACAUGGAGACGGGCCCACAACCACCAGCGGAGCAGAGCAGAGCAGAGCUGAGCUCUAGAGCGGCGUUAGAGCCCUGCUGGGACCUGCCAGACCCACAGAUUUCACUGCCAGGGGCCUCAGCUCGCAGUCGGUGUGAGUUACAGUCCGCGCUCCCGUCACACACAUUCUAAUACACACUUACACACAGUAAAUGCUUAAAUGUGUACGCUAUAUAGACACGUAGGUGCAUGCAUAUAUGGCAAAGUAUAUGCAUGUGCACGGAUACAUAAUCGCUUUAUUUACAUGAUCGAAUCAUUGUUUUACUCUGGAAAAACAGGACUUGGAAAAAAUGUUAGUCUAACUGACAUUGUACUAAAUCUAAUUUCUCUAAAGAGGACUAACACACCCAGAGAAGUCUUCUGUUCAUUCCGACCCAAACAGGACUAGGUGCUCUGUUCCCACCCCCGAGCUUUAACCCAGAAAUAAAAUAAGUCAGUACACAGAAGACAACAUGGCAAAAUCCAGGCCGGUACAUUUCUUUGGACUGACGAGAGGUUUUUAGUUUACUCUCCGCCAGCUCAAAGAUUUUAAUAUUUUAAAGUAUUUUAAUAUUUCCUUGUAUGGUAGAAGACAGGUGCUCCACAUCCUAGCAAUUAGCCGCCGGCUAAAUCGGAAACAUCCUAAUAUAAACAAACAGAGAGAGGGCAUAUCGUCACUCAGCGUUGUGGAGGCGGUAGGACAGUGACCCAGUUCAACCAGUAAGUUUAUGGUCAGGGUCUGGCAGCAGCUGGAUUGGAUCAGUCUGCAUUAACAGGUUUGGUGAAAUGGUAGAACUGACAUGUGUGUGAUUAAGAGGUUUGCAGAAGACUUAUAUGUAUGUGUGUGUGUGUGUGUUUUUCUGUGCAACCGAGUGAGGAGGAAGCAUAAAUACUUGACUAUAAUAUAUUGUCUAAAGCUUUUUAUUAACUUUAAUAAUUGAGGAAAAUCGUGAAAUCUGUGUUUAAAUUUUUAUUUGUUUUUUUACGGCAGCAAAACUCGUUUUUAGGGCAGCUGCAAUAUUCAUGUCUUUUAUUCAGGUUCUCUUUUUUAUAUUGUGUGAAUUAUACAUCCUUUUGUUAGCUGUUUUUUUGUCUCUGUCGUUCUGUGUAUUGUUCUGCAGCUGUUGUAGCCCAAUAAAAACUUCCCUGUGGUGACAAUAAAGUAUAUUUGAUUUGA